UACGAAGGGUGCUAGCGCUGUUCGGAAUUACUGGGCGUAAAGCGCGCGUAGGCGGCCAUUCAAGUCAGAGGUGAAAGCCCGGAGCUUAACUCCGGAACUGCCUUUGAAACUGUAUGGCUUGAGUGUCGGAGGGGAUAGCGGAAUUGCUAAUGUAGAGGUGAAAUUCGUAGAUAUUAGCAGGAACACCGGUGGCGAAGGCGGCUAUCUGGACGACAACUGACGCUGAGGCGCGAAAGCGUGGGGAUCAAACAGG
rnacentral:rRNA from 1 species